rnacentral:rRNA from 1 species
AUUGAACGCUGGCGGCAGGCCUAAUACAUGCAAGUCGAGCGAAUGAAGGAAGCUUUCGCUUGUCUUCCGCUGCCGACGGGUGAGUAAUUCCUACGUAUCUGCCCUGUCUUUGAGGCUAACGUCCGUUCACGGGCCCUAAUCUCGCACACGUUCUGAGGGUGAACCUCGUGGUUCUUUAGUCCUCACCCUUUCUGCUGUCCCUUGGUCGGAUUAGCUAGUUGGUUGGGUAAAGGCCUACCAAGGCGACGAUCCGUAACAGGUCUGAGAGGAUGAUCAGUCACACUGGAACUGAGACACGGUCCAGACUCCUACGGGAGGCAGCAGUGGGGAAUAUUGGACAAUGGGCGAAAGCCUGAUCCAGCCAUGCCGCGUGUGUGAAGAAGGUCUUCGGAUUGUAAAGCACUUUAAGUUGGGAGGAAGGGCAGUAAGUUAAUACCUUGCUGUUUUGACGUUACCAACAGAAUAAGCACCGGCUAACUUCGUG